GGGCUGCCCGCAGCUGGGCGGUGGCGAGAGUGAGGUUGUGCUGAGGGCUCGGUAGGGGUUCCGGGUGCGUGGACGGGGAGAACGGUGCCCCGCAGAGUUCGACAGCGGGAAGGCUGCUUCUCACGGCAUGCUGGGAGCUGUAGUCGUGGGGUAGGGGGCUGCCGGCCUGCGAUGUUGUUCCCCGGAGCUUACCGGGAGGCGUAGUGUUCCGGCACUCGGUGGUCGGCUAGCCAUGCUGUGCGUGUGCCACUGCAUGUUGGGAGCUGUAGUUCUUUGCAGACUCGGGUUCUAGAAGCCGUGUUUAUUUCGGGCGCGUGUGUGUGGUGCAGUUUUUGCUAUUGGUGCAGCCCCCGCGGCGGGGCACGAGGUGUGUUUUUAUUGCUGGGUUCGUGUGGAUUUCUGGGGGCUUGCAGGUGUGGCCAUUCCUUUAUAAUUGGUGAGUUACUCAAGAGCUGAUAGAAGGGAAGAGGGAAAGGAGGAGCAGUCGUUCUACCUCUGCCCAGGACACUGAUGGUGGCCGCCUCCCCGGCUCACCAGAGCUCCCCCUGAGCCUCCCCUGGCCCCCCUUGCCCCGUGCGCCUGCCCCCAGCCCCGGCACCUCCCCUGAAGCGUGCUGCGUAGCCCUUGGCCGCCCCCAGGCCCUGUCGUGAAGGCAGCGAGCCGGCCCUCGAGCGCACUGGAUUCCCCCUCGGCGCAGGGGCCCUUAGCAGUAGCGCGGGGAAGGGGCGGUGUGUCCAGAAGCCCCUGCGCAAGGAGGGGCUUUGGCCAGGGUCGAUCGACGGUAAUGACGGUCGCUGUUUCUUCUUUCCCUCUCCCAGAGACCGUGCUGAGGACGUGGUUGUCUGUCCUUCCCCCGGGGAUGCCGUUGACUGCGGCCGUCUCAGGCUUGCGUGGCUUCUCUCUGCCCGGCGUUGCCAUCCUCGCAGCGCGGGGGCGAAAAGGGACACACAGAGCCCUUCCCGGCUGUGGACAGGAGCUGCCUCGGCUGAAGCUGGAGACGCCAACGAAAGGCGGAGGACAGCCAAGUGACUGGUGUUGCAGAAGAGGAAGCGGGGGAGGAGAGAAGGGAAGAGAAGCAUUUGAACCGCUAAAUUCUCCUAGUGGCACUGAGAGCGAGAGUCGCGGUUUUCCUGUGAUGGGAGCGGCAGAGCAAGGAGCAGAGCGUUGGGGCAUCCGUGGAGGGAGCAUCGGGCACCCUCCUGUGUUUGCAGGGUGACCCUGAGGAAGCGUUAUCUGUGGGUCAGUUGUGUGACUAUAUUUUGUGGGUGUGCUAAUCUCUUUCAGAGUAUGUCUAAGGGUAAGGAUAUCGUUGUGUUCAGUGUAAAUUUUGUUCCAUUUGGUGUAUUUGUCAGAGAUGCAAGUUUAGUGUGGGGGGAAGCCAGCUCUCUGACUGCAUUGAGGAUAAGGUGGGCUAUACGUGUUUGUAGGUCGUAUCUUACCUGUGAGAUGUUUUGAAGUAGUUGUCUCUGGUUUUCUUAGCGACUCACAAAGGGGUUUGGGGCUCCCCGGUGGCGGGUGCUUUGGCCAAAAGAAAAAGCAGGGUCGUAGUGAAGCGUUCCAUUUACAGGGCUGGCCUCAGCCAUCUCCUGCACAAACUUCUGUUAUGUAGCGAUCGGGAUUCGAUUUCCUGAAGGAGGAGAGGAUGAUGGAGCUUGUUAUAAGAGCAUAACAAUUUUGUCUUGCCCCUGCAUCGCCUUUGGCUUUUCCUCGUUGAGCUUGUAUUUUGGUGAGAAGCGUCUCUCGUUAGGCAUUUGGGUCUGAGGGGUGUCCAUGAGGCUACCUGGUGGCCAUCCCCCUGAGAUUUUGUGACCAUCAAGUGAUAUUCAGCAUCCAUCUUAUGCCCAUCUCCUGUAACUACUCUGCAGUUUUCGCUUAAGGCUUGAUAGCGCAGCGUUAGCUGAGGGCGGCAUUUCCCGCGCUGGCCCCGCCACGCCGACGGCGUUUCCCCUGCCGGCCGCUGUCCGUUCCCUGUAACUGUGACUCUUGUCCUGUCAGAGCCUUUGCCGAAGCCACCUUUGUGCUCCACAGCAGUCUGUUUUCUGUCUCGAGUAUGUUUCUUUUCGGUAUCGGAUACCCCAAAGCUGCGUACCGUUGGCUCAGGUCUCUUCUUGAGCUUCUGUGAGAAGAGAGAGCCUUCAUCUGUGUUUAUCGAUGCGUCUCCUGGGGUGUUUUUUUGUUGUCCUUUGCAAUUUAGUUUUGUCCCAGCUGCUUCGUACGGUUCCUGAUAUGCUUGUGUAUUUCCAGGUUUCUUUUCAUGUUUUUUGUCCUUUGAGACUGAUCAAGUUCCAUUAAGGGACUGAGCGAGAGAGAGCGUUGAGGUGACUCUGAAUGGUUGAUGAUUUUAUAGUAAAUGAUUUACUUUACAACCAGAGAUAUUUUUGAGAAGGGGUUCUUAAAAGAUUUGAAUCUGCUGGGACAUUCAGUCUUACCCAGAAUGUAGUUCUCAGAGAUGUUCGGUAGCGUGGGCGGUCUUGCUAGAAAUUAAGAAUCACCCCAUAGCAUUUUGAGUUUAUUGUAACUGGGAAGUAAAGCCCGUAGUUUUUGAUAAUAAUACUGUUAUUGCAUUUAAUGAGCUGCUUUCCUACAUAGUUUAAUAUGACAUCUAUCUUUGUCUCUCUGUGUGCCAGAAAAAAUGAAGUUUAAAUCUCUACGUCGUCACGUUGCUGAUGCAAAAGAUGUAGUUGUAGCAGAAGAGCUGGUAUUGUCGUAUCCAGGAAGGCUUUCUGUGUGUGUUCGGCACUUGGCAUGCUGUAAAGGUCAGGCAGUUGAGAAAACUCCGUGCUCUUCCUAUUCGGGCCACCUUUACACCCUGUGUGGGCUUGGCCUGCCCCUUUCCAGGGGUUUGUGGGAAGGGUGGGGCAGGGCGAGGGGUAGAUGAGCCCCAGCCUUUUUUCAGGAGGCUCAUUCUGCAACCUGGGCUUCUCUGGUACUGUUCCUUGAGUUGGUUGCAGCUUUUCAGCUGUAUAAGCUCUUUGGUAGGUGUGUUUUGACAUUUAGGGAGGGGGAGGUUUCUGGUUAAGGUAAGAGAUUAAGGAGCAGUCAGGGUUGAGCAGCAUAUAUAUUAGAAAGGACACUUGUGUGCAGCUUUUUUUUUUUCCUCGGGUCAGUAACUUUGUGUUGGGUGUUCAGGAGUAGCAAGGUGGUUUAAUAGUGUGUUUUCAUUGUUUGAUCGAUGUUGGUUUUGGUUGUUUCUGUUUGUUUUAUUAUCCAGGACUUUACUGAAGGUAGAAGUGUACAACGGUGUACAACAUCUGUGUGCCUCUCUGUAUUUUCCUGGAAGUGGGCCCUGGAUUCAAGGUGACGGCUCCGGAGCCAUCGAAGACGGACUGAGUACACGCGCAGGCGCCUGAUGCAUCCACUGACCCGGGAGGCACGUAGUGGGAGAUGCACAGUAGGGAGCCGGAUGCGGAAGAGAGGAGGCGAACAGAACAUCAUGAGAAGUUAGGCGCCAUAAGAGGAGGUGGCCACCGCAUCCAGGCUUACUAGAGUGGAGCCAGUGGAAGUUCACGGCGCUUCCGAGAAGGGUGUAGUUGCAGAAGAAGUCAGCAUUGAGUGUUGUGACACUGACUGAUGGAGCUCUGUGUUCGGAGAUGAUGAAGAGGAUCUGUGUGAUUACAGCAGCAUAUUAGGUAGCCUAUGUGUUAUUUUCUAAAGGCCUCUUUCUGAGCAUCUGCCACGCAGAGCGGCUCCAGCUUGUGUCUGUGUUGUGUGGAUUUUGUAAACUGUCGUCAUCCUGUACCACACUUAGGUCUCGAUGUCUCUAUCGUUGUCUGUGCUCAGCACGUGCACAGGUAGCAAUAUUGAGGGUUUCAUGAGCCUCAGCUUGUCGGCGUAAUGGUAACUGAGAGUUUCCUUUCUCGAAUUGUAAGUCUAAUGUGCAGAUCUGUCUUGCGUAUCUCAAAUAUUAGAACCUCGCAGGUGGUCAUCUUUUUGCGGCGGUGAUUUAGGCGGCCUCAGUACUGCUGCUGAAGAGCAGUCUGCUUACCCGGAGCCCUUUUCUGGGACCUGUUCCCUGCACCUUAACGUUCUGAGGUCUUUAAGAGUGGCUUGUCGCUCGUGCAUCGUCCUAGUUGUGGGUAUAUGGCUUUAUCACAGGUGGUGGUGUGUGACUUCUCUGCGGGUGCUAUAGCUUCUUCCUCGCUGCCGUAUAGAUCUUCUCGCCUGGUGGCAUCUCUGGGCAGGAAGUCCUUCGUCUUGGUGAGAAUUUUCUUAGGUCUCUCGAUCACGUCGCUUGUAGUAUUUGUGAGCAGUGUUGGUCCGUGCACGUCGAUGCCUGUGUCAGAGCUGCUCUGCCUGGGGGUGUAGCAAUGGUAGAGCGGGGGAAAGAAUAACAGUAAGAAUAUAUGGUUAAUGUUAAUAUGCAUAGACUGUUUUGGGAACGCCCGUGCAACCUUUGUCGGAGCAAGUGGCUGUUGGCAGCGGACAAGGACGAUAAUUUCCGGGGCGUUUUGUGGGUGCCGAGGGGAUGACCGUAGCCGUCUGGGAGAGGCAGCUAGAGUGCUAGCUGAGCAGAGUGCACCUCACAGCUGUUCAAGGUUGUAUGUGCGUGGGGCUUAAAGUUUGAUUGAAGGUAUUUCCUUUAACGGCAGGAAAUAGUUGGGCUCUAGAUGGUAUUCCUACGUGGAAGCAAGACCUGUGGAAUGGUUAAGCCGUUGCUGUGCCUCCAGGUGACUUGUUCUGUCAUGCUGUUCUUGCAGAGGAUGAAGAUGGAGCUGUGCAGGGUGAUAGAGCAGAGCUGAGUAGAGCACAACUAAGGUGGCGGGUCCGUGUGCAGGAUUAAAGGGAAGAUGCGACUGAAGGCUAUUUGAAGAGCAUUUCAGGUGAGCUGGGUCACAGCGAGGAGGCGCAUGGGGCUGGUGAUUUCUUCCAAGGAGAGCGGUGAUUUUGUGUCUUCUGGUAUCUCUAGGGACUGCAAGUGAUGAUGACUGUCUUAGUCUGGAAGGGGCACGGAGCAGGUGAGGGGAGUGCCAGGUGGCAUCUGUGAUGAUGGAUGUUGCAGAAAAGGUCUGUGUUGACUGAUGCGAUGCUAACUGGUAAGACUGUUCUCUGUGGGUUGUGUGUUGGUUUGGGGUUUUUUUCAGGUAAUGAAUAGGCAUCUGUCAACUGCAGGAUGGAUCUAGUGGGCUGGUGGUGCUCUUCCUUGUUGAGGAUGGACUGAGCUUCUAGCUCUCUGAAAACUAAGUUGAAGCAGUGGUCGUGGAGGAGGGGUCAGGGGAGUAGAGGGCACAAGCUUGGUUGUCGCAGGAAGCGGUUAACCUUUGGGGAGGUUAAAAGGUAGGAUUCGUCUUCAGCGUGAUGCUAGGUUGCGGAGGGCUGGGCAGUUCAGGCCGUGUGUGGUGCUGUGUACUUUGUGUGGUCUGUGUUCCGUGUCUUAGACCUUCCUAAGGUUUUUAUGUUCUUUUUGCUCCUGGGAGCAGCAAGACUCGUGCCUCAGGAACCAUCUUUAGGGCCUGGCUAGGCUCUAAUUGUUGGCCCUGCGCCCAUCGGGCACUUCUUUCUUCACCUUAUGAGUUUCAAGCGUGGAUCUUUUUGGAGCCUCAGAAGUUUCUGGGCGGUCAUCUUGUGCAGUGUCAUUCCAAGGUGCACAAGGAUAUCUGCUUAUGAGCUGUCCAUUUUCAGGGAGCAGUCGGGGGAGGGUGGGGACGCAGUCGGCCGUGGGAGGAAGGGGUUUUA